AGAGUUUGAUCCUGGCUCAGGAUGAACGCUAGCUACAGGCUUAACACAUGCAAGUCGAGGGGAAACGACAUCGAAAGCUUGCUUUUGAUGGGCGUCGACCGGCGUACGGGUGAGUAACGCGUAUCCAACCUGCCCACCACCUUGGGGAGUAACCUUGCGAAAGUAAGACUAAUACCCAAUGAUAUCUCUAGAAGACAUCUGAAAGAGAUUAAAGAUUUAUCGGUGAUGGAUGGGGAGUGCGUCUGAUUAGCUUGUUGGCGGGGUAACGGGCCCACCCAAGGCAACGAUCAGUAGGGGUUCGUGAGAGGAAGGUCCCCCACCAUUGGAGCUGAGACACGGUCCAAACUCCUACGGGAGGCAGCA
rnacentral:rRNA from 1 species